UCUGUAAUUUCUUUUUCCCACAGCUCAUGGUUCCACAAUGACGUGUGUUGACCUAGUGACUUCUGCUCCCAGGAGCUAUGGACACGAACCAUAGACAACUUGGUUUCCAUAGUAACCUCACACCAGAGUCUACCAGCUCCUGGAGGGGACCUUUCCUGAUAUCGCCUUUCAUCCCAUCCCUACGAUAACACCUGGCAAGAUAGGAGGCCCUCUCCACCUGGGGGUGGUCACAGAUAUCAUUACCCUAAGUACAUGUAUGAUUGCACCAAUGGUGUGACUCUACUUCAUGCACAACCAG
rnacentral:lncRNA from 1 species